GAUGAACGCUGGCGGUCUGCUUAACACAUGCAAGUCGAACGGGCUCUUUCGGGAGCUAGUGGCGGACGGGUGAGUAACGCGUGAGAAUCUGCCCUUUGGAGGGGGAUAACGGUUGGAAACGACCGCUAAUACCCCAUGUGCCGAGAGGUAAAAAGUAAUUCGGGAAGGGAUGAGCUCGCGUCGGAUUAGCUAGUUGGUGGGGUAAGAGCCCACCAAGGCGACGAUCCGUAGCUGGUCUGAGAGGAUGACCAGCCAGAUUGGGAGGGAGAUACGGCCCAGAGGACUACGGGAGGCAGCAGGGGGGAAGAUGGCAGAAUGGGCGGAAGUCUGAUGCAGAAACGACGUGUGCGGGAUGACGGCCGUCGGGUUGUAAACCGCUUUCGCCUGGGACGAAGCGGGAGGGACGGUAAUGGGUAAAGAAGCAACGGCUAACUACGUGC
rnacentral:rRNA from 1 species